rnacentral:ncRNA from 1 species
UUACUGAAAUGGCAAACCUGUUGAAAAGCAGGGACGCAAAGCUAAAGGGCCUGUAAGAUGGCAGCCAGCUACCAAA